GACAGGGGGUGCAAACGUUGUUCGGAAUUACUGGGCGUAAAGCGCGUGUAGGCGGCUAUGCAAGUCGGAUGUGAAAGCCCUCGGCUCAACCGGGGAAGUGCACCCGAAACUGCAAAGCUAGAGUCUCGGAGAGGAUCGUGGAAUUCUCGGUGUAGAGGUGAAAUUCGUAGAUAUCGAGAGGAACACCGGUGGCGAAGGCGGGUCUCUGGGCCGAUACUGACGCUGAGGAGCGAAAGCGUGGGGAGCGAACAGGA
rnacentral:rRNA from 1 species